rnacentral:rRNA from 1 species
GCGUCUAUAUACGUAUAGCAUAUCAAUAAGCGGAGGAAAAGAAACUAACUAGGAUUCCCUUAGUAACGGCGAGUGAAGCGGGAAGAGCUCAAAUUUGAAAUCUUCAAGGUUCUACCUUGACGAAUUGUAGUUUAAAGAAGUGUUUUCUGUUGGAGUUUUGGUAAAAGUUCUUUGGAAUAGGACAUCAUAGAGGGUGAGAAUCCCGUAUUUGACCAUUAUCUUCCAGCUUUGUGAUACACUUUCAAAGAGUCGGAUUGUUUGGGAAUGCAGUCCAAAAUGGGUGGUAAAUUUCAUCUAAAGCUAAAUAUUGGCGAGAGACCGAUAGCGAACAAGUACCGUGAGGGAAAGAUGAAAAGAACUUUGAAAAGAGAGUUAAACAGUACGUGAAAUUGUCAAAAGGGAAGCGUUUGACACCAGUGUUGUUUUUCCGAAAAUCAAUUACGAAUGGCUUGAUUUUGUGUUGUAUUGACCUUAUCAGCUUUCUUCACUUUUUUCGAGUCUUUCUUAAUGCACUUUUCGGUUAACAAGUCAACAUCAAUUUCUUUUGUUGUAAAAGAGUCAUUCGGAAGGUGGCUUUCUUUUCGGAGAAAGUGUUUAUAGCCCUAUGACUUCUACAAUCGGAGAGAUUGAGGUCUGCAGCGUAGAUCCUUCGGGGUUAGAUACACUUGUGCUAAGUUGUAGCUUUUCAUAGACAACUUGUUGACUAUGUUUAGUCUAUUGUAGGCUUACUCGCUUGACGCUAUUUUACCUACGCUUAGGAUGUUGACUGAUAUGUAGUCGUA